rnacentral:rRNA from 1 species
AUGAACGCUAGCUACAGGCUUAACACAUGCAAGUCGAGGGGCAGCAUGGUCUUAGCUUGCUAAGGCCGAUGGCGACCGGCGCACGGGUGAGUAACGCGUAUCCAACCUGCCUUACACUCUUGGACAGCCUUCUGAAAGGGAGAUUAAUACAAGAUGUUAUCAUGAGUAAGCAUUUUCGCAUGAUUAAAGGUUUACCGGUGUAAGAUGGGGAUGCGUUCCAUUAGAUAGUAGGCGGGGUAACGGCCCACCUAGUCUUCGAUGGAUAGGGGUUCUGAGAGGAAGGUCCCCCACAUUGGAACUGAGACACGGUCCAAACUCCUACGGGAGGCAGCAGUGAGGAAUAUUGGUCAAUGGACGAGAGUCUGAACCAGCCAAGUAGCGUGAAGGAUGAAGGUUCUAUGGAUUGUAAACUUCUUUUAUACGGGAAUAAACGAAUCCACGUGUGGAUUUUUGCAUGUACCGUAUGAAUAAGGAUCGGCUAACUCCGUGCCAGCAGCCGCGGUAAUACGGAGGAUCCGAGCGUUAUCCGGAUUUAUUGGGUUUAAAGGGAGCGUAGAUGGGUUGUUAAGUCAGUUGUGAAAGUUUGCGGCUCAACCGUAAAAUUGCAAUUGAUACUGGCAGUCUUGAGUACAGUUGAGGUAGGCGGAAUUCGUGGUGUAGCGGUGAAAUGCUUAGAUAUCACGAAGAACUCCGAUUGCGAAGGCAGCUUACUAACCUGUAACUGACAUUGAUGCUCGAAAGUGUGGGUAUCAAACAGGAUUAGAUACCCUGGUAGUCCACACGGUAAACGAUGAAUACUCGCUGUAGGCGAUAUACAGUCUGCGGCCAAGCGAAAGCAUUAAGUAUUCCACCUGGGGAGUACGCCGGCAACGGUGAAACUCAAAGGAAUUGACGGGGGCCCGCACAAGCGGAGGAACAUGUGGUUUAAUUCGAUGAUACGCGAGGAACCUUACCCGGGCUUAAAUUGCAACCGAAUAUGGCGGAAACUCUAUAGCUAGCAAUAGCGGUUGUGAAGGUGCUGCAUGGUUGUCGUCAGCUCGUGCCGUGAGGUGUCGGCUUAAGUGCCAUAACGAGCGCAACCCUUGCCGAUAGUUACUAACAGGUUAUGCUGAGGACUCUGUCGGGACUGCCAUCGUAAGAUGUGAGGAAGGUGGGGAUGACGUCAAAUCAGCACGGCCCUUACGUCCGGGGCUACACACGUGUUACAAUGGGGGGUACAGAGGGCUGCUACCACGCAAGUGGAUGCCAAUCCCAAAAACCUCUCUCAGUUCGGAUUGAAGUCUGCAACCCGACUUCAUGAAGCUGUAUUCGCUAGUAAUCGCGCAUCAGCCACGGCGCGGUGAAUACGUUCCCGGGCCUUGUACACACCGCCCGUCAAGCCAUGGGAGCCGGGGGUACCUGAAGUGCGUAACCGCAAGGAGCGCCCUAGGGUAAAACUGGUGACUGGGGCU